AUUGAACGCUGGCGGCAGGCUUAACACAUGCAAGUCGAGCGGUAGCACAGGGGAGCUUGCUCCCUGGGUGACGAGCGGCGGACGGGUGAGUAAUGUCUGGGAAACUGCCUGAUGGAGGGGGAUAACUACUGGAAACGGUAGCUAAUACCGCAUAACGUCGCAAGACCAAAGAGGGGGACCUUCGGGCCUCUUGCCAUCAGAUGUGCCCAGAUGGGAUUAGCUAGUAGGUGGGGUAAUGGCUCACCUAGGCGACGAUCCCUAGCUGGUCUGAGAGGAUGACCAGCCACACUGGAACUGAGACACGGUCCAGACUCCUACGGGAGGCAGCAGUGGGGAAUAUUGCACAAAGGGCGCAAGCCUGAUGCAGCCAUGCCGCGUGUGUGAAGAAGGCCUUCGGGUUGUAAAGCACUUUCAGCGAGGAGGAAGGUGGUGAGCUUAAUACGUUCAUCAAUUGACGUUACUCGCAGAAGGAGCACCGGCUAACUCCGUG
rnacentral:rRNA from 1 species